rnacentral:rRNA from 1 species
CAAAAACAUAGCUGUGUGACAAUACUCAUAGUACUUUCUGCUCAAUGAGAAUUAAAUAGCCGCAGUACCCUGACUGUGCAAAGGUAGCGUAAUCAGUUGUCUUUUAAUUAGAGUCUUGUAUGAAUGAAUAUAUGGGGGCCCCCUUUACCAAUAACAUAAAUUGAAAUUACUUAAUGAGUGCAAAGACUCAUAGUACUCAAAAGACGAGAAGACCCUAGAAAUUUUAAUAAAAAUUUUUGUUGGGGCAACAUAGUAUCAAAUAAUUUACUAUAUGUAUAUGAGAUAAAUUUGAAAGCGUAAAUUACUCUAGGGAUAACAGCAUAAUUAAGUAAGGUUUGUGACCUCGAUGUUGGAUUAGGAAGUUAUAACUUAAAAGGUAGUUAAUUAGGCUCUGUUCGAGC